UACAGAGGGUGCGAGCGUUAAUCGGAAUUACUGGGCGUAAAGCGCGCGUAGGCGGCUUUGCAAGUCGGGUGUGGAAAUCCCCAAGGCUUCGAACCUGGGACUGCAUUGAGACUGCAUUGCUAGAGUAUGGGAGAGGGAAGUGGAAUUUCAGGUGUAGCGGUGAAAUGCGUAGAUAUCUGAAGGAACAUCAGUGGCGAAAGCGACUUCCUGGACCAAUCUGACGCUC
rnacentral:rRNA from 1 species